AUACGGAGGGUGCAAGCGUUAUCCGGAAUCAUUGGGUUUAAAGGGUCCGUAGGCGGACUAUUAAGUCAGAGGUGAAAUCCCACAGCUCAACUGUGGAACUGCCUUUGAUACUGGUAGUCUUGAGUUAUAUGGAGGUAGACAGAAUGUGUAGUGUAGCGGUGAAAUGCAUAGAUAUUACACAGAAUACCGAUUGCGAAGGCAGUCUACUACGUAUAUACUGACGCUAAGGGACGAAAGCGUGGGGAGCGAACAGGAUUAGAAACCCUAGUAGUCC
rnacentral:rRNA from 1 species